rnacentral:lncRNA from 1 species
UAUUCCUUUUAACUCAGGCCAAUGGAGAAUAAUAAUUUAUAUUCAAGUGCCCAGUUCAUUUCUCGAGAAUGUGCCGAACGUGGAAUAAUUAGUUGCUGAUGUCAUCGCUAAAAUCAGCCAACAACAAAAACUCGUUCCCACUGUUUAUUUUUUAAAUUUCUAGUCAUCAAGAUUCAAGAAGGAAGCACGUAAAUCUUACGUAUAUUUAUAUGCGAAAUCUGUCCUUGAAGUUCUGGCUAUUAUGGCGUCUUUAAUUUUCGAACCAAAAAUGGGCAUAAUAAGUUGCAAUCAAUAAAUUAUAAAUGUAUAUAUUAUAUAUUAUAUGUGUAUAACACUGAAUUAUAUGUUUCACUUUGUUCUUUGACUUUGUAAUAUUGUCUACUGCUGAAAAUGACUUUAAAGUUUAAUUUGUAAAAUAAAAUAAUGUUUAGCAGGUAAGAAAAAAAUCCGAUAUAAAUAUAUAUCCGAAUACAUUUAUGCCCAAACCCAUAUAAUAUCUUAAAUUUUAAUAUAUAGGUAGUUUAUUUUUCAUGGGUCAACUAUAUAUUAACCAUAUAAUAUGUAAAUAUAUUCACAUUACAAAGGAAUUUAAUUGAAUUGGAAAUGUCAAUAUAAGAUUACGACUUAGUAUUUACAGUAGUAAUUUUAUACCCAGCUGAUGCCACUGUUAUAGCCUAUAAUAACAGCGAACAUUGGAGACAGCAUGAUUGUGACUUUAUCUCUCCAGAUGAUGGCAGAAUCCGAGCGGACCCGAGAAACAUAAUAUUUUCUGUCGUGUCAAAUAUGAAUUGAGGAUGAACAAUUCCGUAGACGGAUGAGGCGUGUCACACGAUUCAAAAUCAUUGAGAGAAAUUUCGGUCCUUCAAACAGAAGUGUGGUCACUACCCGCUGGUCAAGCCGUCAAGGUUAUAAAAGUUGUUCUUGUAAAAGAACAUGUGAUACUAUUAUACUAAUAUAAGUUUAAUAGCCAAUAUAGGUGUAAGUAUGUAACUGUGUAAGUAUAUAAAUAAUCCAAUGUUGCAUUUUGUGCCAUACAAAAUAUCAUGAAAGUAUAAGUGCAUGUAACGUGUACAAUUUAAUAAUACUUUGUUUUCUAUCAAAAAUAUUUUUGUGCAUAUUUUUUUAUUAUGUUUUCGAGUACCUACCUAGGUACAUUUAAUAAAAACCAUAAAUUUAAUAUAAUUAAAAUUAAUUUAGUUCUAUAUAGGUAUAUUGACCAUUAAAGAUUAAACGUGAUAUUCUCUGACAUUCCGACAUGGUCAUGAUUAGGGUUAGGGACUUCAUGCCCUUAAAAACCUUAAAAUAUGCAUGCAUUUAUGCCCUAAAGAAUCAAAAAAUAUGCUUUUAAAAUAU